AGAAAAGAACCUCAAGAUAAUUAUGCUGUGUUAAAGCCAGAGGAACCCAGCAGUUUGACCUAGAACGACAGCUUCAUGGCCAUUGUGAGGCUGCAGUUAAUCAAGAAGAAUGUUUUCCUAGCUGAGGCCUUUGUUUAGUAAGCUUGUGACUGAGUUGAGUCACCAGUAGAUGAGACAGGUGGAUGGCCUGCUCUCUCCCCCUCUGCGACUCCGUCUUGCCCAGAGCUGGUGUCUUUUGCCCUCACUAGAAGGCAGUGCUUCAGCACCUGUCCCUUGCUGGUGGCAUAGGUGUUCAGGAGCUGGGGCACUCACCUCGUGGCUCUCUGGUGUCUGAGGUCCUUUCUUUCCUAGGAUGAGCCUGUUUACCGUGACUGCCUAACCUGACAUGUUGUUUAUGUUCCAGUGUUUAGAUGCAGGCAGAUUAUAUUACCUGAAUUAGAAUGCUUUUGAGACUCAAGGUAGUAUCUUAAAUUUUAACUUCUGAGUUUCCUGAAGUGCAGCUACAGUCAAGUGGUGGGGAAAGCGCUUCCUUAGCCUCUGUGGUAGUGAGUGGAGGGCUGCACACGCGCCUCAGUCUUUGAGCGAACAGGGUCUCCUGGGUUUGUCUUCCUGUUGCUGUUGUGGGUUGUUGACAGAGGGGCACGGGACCCGAAGCCACUGAGCUUCUCAGACCCCAGCACCUGCCAGAGAUCAC
rnacentral:lncRNA from 1 species